rnacentral:sRNA from 1 species
UGAAAACGUUUUACAAUAAUAACGUUCUUUAAUUUCUUUAAAACGGAAAAGAAUGGCCGAGCAAUCGGAAGGAGAUUAUUCUUUUUUGUUUUAAUGAAAAAUAUAAACAAGGAGGAAGAACAAGA